GACGAACGCUGGCGGCGUGCCUAAUACAUGCAAGUAGAACGCUGAAGGAGGAGCUUGCUUCUCUGGAUGAGUUGCGAACGGGUGAGUAACGCGUAGGUAACCUGCCUGGUAGCGGGGGAUAACUAUUGGAAACGAUAGCUAAUACCGCAUAAUAGUAGAUGUUGCAUGACAUUUGCUUAAAAGGUGCAAUUGCAUCACUACCAGAUGGACCUGCGUUGUAUUAGCUAGUUGGUGGGGUAACGGCUCACCAAGGCGACGAUACAUAGCCGACCCGAGAGGGUGAUCGGCCACACUGGGACUGAGACACGGCCCAGACUCCUACGGGAGGAAGCAGUAGGGAAUCUUCGGCAAUGGACGGAAGUCUGACCGAGCAACGCCGCGUGAGUGAAGAAGGUUUUCGGAUCGUAAAGCUCUGUUGUAAGAGAAGAACGAGUGUGAGAGUGGAAAGUUCACACUGUGACGGUAUCUUACCAGAAAGGGACGGCUAACUACGUG
rnacentral:rRNA from 1 species